UACGUAGGGUGCGAGCGUUAAUCGGAAUUACUGGGCGUAAAGCGUGCGCAGGCGGUUCGUUGUGUCGGCGGUGAAAGCCCCGGGCUCAACCUGGGAAUGGCCGUUGAAACUGGCGAACUGGAGUGUGGCAGAGGGGGGUGGAAUUCCGCGUGUAGCAGUGAAAUGCGUAGAGAUGCGGAGGAACACCGAUGGCGAAGGCAGCCCCCUGGGCUGACACUGACGCCGCAGGCACGAAAGCGUGGGGAGCAAACAGG
rnacentral:rRNA from 1 species